rnacentral:rRNA from 1 species
GACGAACGCUGGCGGCGUGCUUAACACAUGCAAGUCGAACGGAAAGGCCCUGCUUUUGUGGGGUGCUCGAGUGGCGAACGGGUGAGUAACACGUGAGUAACCUGCCCUUGACUUUGGGAUAACUUCAGGAAACUGGGGCUAAUACCGGAUAGGAGCUCCUGCUGCAUGGUGGGGGUUGGAAAGUUUCGGCGGUUGGGGAUGGACUCGCGGCUUAUCAGCUUGUUGGUGGGGUAGUGGCUUACCAAGGCUUUGACGGGUAGCCGGCCUGAGAGGGUGACCGGCCACAUUGGGACUGGGAUACGGCACAGACUCCUACGGGAGGGAGCAGUGGGGAAUAUUGCACAAUGGGCGGAAGCCUGAUGCAGCAACGCCGCGUGCGGGAUGACGGCCUUCGGGUUGUAAACCGCUUUCGCCUGUGACGAAGCGUGAGUGACGGUAAUGGGUAAAGAAGCACCGGCUAACUACGUG